rnacentral:rRNA from 1 species
GCACAAGCGGUGGAGCAUGUGGUUAAUUCGAAGCAACGCGAAGAACCUUACCAGGUCUUGACAUCCCGAUGCUAUUUCUAGAGAUAGAAAGUUACUUCGGUACAUCGGUGACAGGUGGUGCAUGGUUGUCGUCAGCUCGUGUCGUGAGAUGUUGGGUUAAGUCCCGCAACGAGCGCAACCCCUAUUGUUAGUUGCCAUCAUUCAGUUGGGCACUCUAGCGAGACUGCCGGUAAUAAACCGGAGGAAGGUGGGGAUGACGUCAAAUCAUCAUGCCCCUUAUGACCUGGGCUACACACGUGCUACAAUGGUUGGUACAACGAGUUGCGAGUCGGUGACGGCGAGCUAAUCUCUUAAAGCCAAUCUCAGUUCGGAUUGUAGGCUGCAACUCGCCUACAUGAAGUCGGAAUCGCUAGUAAUCGCGGAUCAGAACGCCGCGGUGAAUACGUUCCCGGGCCUU